UGUGCGAGCAUGCAUGUGCGUGGAUCCCGCUUGUGUGAUGCUAUGAGGAACGUCUGUCUCCCAGUGGGCCUCUCUCAAGGCGUACCAGCAACGCCAAGCACUGCCAACGAGGGUGCGCACGCACGUGUGUGUAAGCCUCCCAAAUGUUCUCGGCAGCGAAGAGAUCCAAGUGGCAUAAUGACGUCACACACCACGUCCUCGGAUACUACCAUAGAGAUAAAGUGUAAAAUCCUCAAGAUCAUGAGCCUUAGUAAGAUGAAUAGGUGCACAGUUGAGAAAGCUGGACAACUGCCUGGAGGACUUGCACAAUGGCA